rnacentral:rRNA from 1 species
UACGUAGGGUGCGAGCGUUAAUCGGAAUUACUGGGCGUAAAGCGUGCGCAGGCGGUUCGUUGUGUCCGAUGUGAAAGCCCCGGGCUUAACCUGGGAAUUGCAGUCGAUACUACUCAGCUAGAGUAUGGGAGAGGGCAGUGGAAUUCCCGGUGUAGCGGUGAAAUGCGUAGAUAUCGGGAGGAACAUCAGUGGCGAAGGCGGCUGCCUGGCCCAAUACUGACACUCAGGUGCGACAGCGUGGGGAGCAAACAGG